rnacentral:rRNA from 1 species
CCUACGGGAGGCAGCAGUGAGGAAUAUUGGUCAAUGGGCUUACGCCUGAACCAGCCAAGUCGCGUGAGGGAAGACUGCCCUAUGGGUUGUAAACCUCUUUUGUCAGGGAGCAACGCCGGCUACGUGUAGCCGGACUGAGAGUACCUGAAGAAAAAGCAUCGGCUAACUCCGUGCCAGCAGCCGCGGUAAUACGGAGGAUGCGAGCGUUAUCCGGAUUUAUGGGGUUAAAGGGGUGCGCAGGCGGAAUUCCAAGUCAGCGGUAAAUUGGGGGGGCCAAACCUCGCAGUGCAGGUGAAACUGGUGUAUUUGAGUGGGCGAGAGGUAGGCGGAAGGCGUGGUGGAGCGGUGAAAUGCAUAGAUAGCACGCAGAAAGCCGAUUGCGAAGGCAGCAUACCGGAGCCCAACUGACGCUGAAGCACGAAAGCGUGGGUAUCGAACAGGAUUAGAUACCCCAGUAGUC